AGAGUGAACGCUGGCGGUAGGCCUAACACAUGCAAGUCGAACGGCAGCACAGUAGGAGCUUGCUCUUACGGGUGGCGAGUGGCGGACGGGUGAGGAAUACAUCGGAAUCUACCUUUUGGUGGGGGAUAACGUAGGGAAACUUACGCUAAUACCGCAUACGCCCUUCGGGGGAAAGCCGGGGACCAGCAAUGGCCUGGCGCUGAUAGAUGAGCCGAUGUCGGAUUAGCUAGUUGGUGAGGUAAUGGCUCACCAAGGCGACGAUCCGUAGCUGGUCUGAGAGGAUGAUCAGCCACACUGGAACUGAGACACGGUCC
rnacentral:rRNA from 1 species